AGAAAUCAUGAAGAUCGUGGAAGAGGCAAAAAUUCCCCCACCGGUAUCCAGAUCUAUUGGAGGCUUUGGCUGGGAAGGAGAAGAAGAUGGUGACAUGAAGGAAGAUGAUGCAGAGGCUCAUGAAGAAAAAAUCGAUAACGGGGAGGAUGAGUAUGAGAAGAGAGUUAAGGAGGCACAAGCAAGUGGGGAGUUUCAUGUGAGUUAAGAUCCAUCCUCUCUUCCUUGCACAUUCACGGUCUUAACCUCAUCCUUUGGAUAUUUAUAGGAUCCUUUGAAGCUUUGUGUAAAACUGUGUGUCAGUGAGCUGGUCCUGAAUAUAUGUUUGUGAAUCCUAGCUUACCGGUUAGGAUGGGUGUGAAAUUAUUGAAAUUAGAGUCAUCAUCGGAGUCAUAAACUUUGAAUUCAACUGUGUUGAGCAGGAAGGACGUCUAGCUGUUUAGAUCCUUGAAUUAGGAGGAGGUUCUGAAAUACCUAUCAGAGUUAUUUAUACAAAUUAUGGUUUUUGUUUGAAAGGGUUAAUAUGAUUAGUGUGACAAAUUAUGGGCUUUGUAAGGAUGUCUCCUUAAGUAUCAUGUACAUUACUUUUACUAAAUAUACUAAAAGAACUAAGUUUGGUGGUUACCGUAACUUUUUUUUCUCUUCAGUUUGUGUUUUUUAACUGAAUCCCCUUUUAGUAUAAGCUCAUGAGAUGGUUUGAAAUUGUGAAAGAAAGACAAAAUUAAAAGAUUGAUUACCAAAAUAUAAAAUUCCUUCUUCAUCCAUUUCAAUUCUUUUUGUUUUUGGAAUUUUCAUUGUAGUUUUCAAGUUUAUUUUCCUGAGUUUAGGAAAGGUGAGGGAAACUUGUCAUAAAAUGACGAAGGAGAGAGAAAAUGAUCGAUUGAUUAUAUUUCAAUAACAAAAAAGCUAGAUUUUGGUGUAAAUAUGUUCUAUUAGAUAAGAAAAAUUUCUUGGAGGUGUUUUUAGUCUAUUAUCUUGCUUGAAAAGUGAGGUCGGGGUUGAGAGAUAUUUUUUUUAAUUUGAUUUUAUAUUUUUUAAUAAUUUUAAUAGUGUUUUGAGUUGAGAGAUUGAUUUAUUGAUAUUAUAACAAUGCUUAUUAGGUUUUUUUAUGCAAAAAUAAGUUAAAAAAUAAAUUUUAUCAUUAGAAAAAUCCCAAGUCAAUUUUUUAACCAUUGGACAACAUUUUCUGUUUUUAUUUUAUUUUUUUUAAAAUGGGUGUACAGUAUACACAAAAAAACCAAAAAAAUAAAUGGGUAACUUAUUGCUCAUUCGCAUCUUUUACACAAAAAAAAAAAGAAAAAAAAAAAGCUAGGUACAUGAAUAUAGUCUUGUAGCCCAAUGGCCAUUUUUUUAAAUGAAUCAGGUGCGUUGGGUCAUUUAAGUCCAUGGUUUAUUAUGUUAUUUUUUUUUUCAAUUAAAAUAAAUAACUUCAAAACAUACUAAAAAUAAUAUAUUAUAGUAUUUUGAAAAGAUUGUUGAGCUUUUUGUGCAAUCCUUUGUGAUUUCUUUGGUUUUUCAUGAAAUUUUGUUUUUUAGAUUUUUUACACAUUUUUUUAAAUUAUUAUAUGAUUAAAUAAAAAAAAGUUUUAGUAUAUUAUUCUUAUAUUUUUUAAUAUAUUCACGGAAUAACAAUGAAACAAUCAAAUUUUUUUAUUAAAUUUUAUUUUUAUGAUUCUAUUAAUUUUUUGCUUCAAUAAAUAAACAUUUUGAUAAAUAAAUUGUCAAAAAGAAAAAAGAUAGCAUUAAGUUGCCUUUUUUUUUUGUUUUUCGGUUAUUUUAGAGUUUAUUGGAUAUUAAUUCUAAUCACCUUGGUUUCUAUUAAAUUAAGUACAUUGUUAUAAAAAAGUUAUAUUUUUUUAUUGGGAAAAAUAAAUUAUACUAACAAAUUACUUUUCUAUAAAAUUUAAAUUAUUAAUUUUCUUAUAAAAAAAUCAUUGACAUAAAUGUAAUAAAAAAUAAUAAUAAUUGGAUAUCAUGACUUUUAGCUUCUUAAUUUAAUAUUUGAUUUGGGUCAUUCCUUUUGGUCGUUAUUUGAUUUGUGCAUCAUAUAUGUCCUAGUUAAAAAAUCUAAAUUGACCUAUUAGGUUGACUUGAAACACCAUCUUGGAAUUAUUUUUUUUUGGUAACACUAAGAGUUGAAAGUUUGUUUUUAUGUUGAAAGAUAAACUCGGGUCGAUUUGCGACCUAACUUUUAAUUUGUUGCUUAAAAUAAUAUUGUUGUUAUUAUUUGUUAAAAUAAAUUUGAAGUCAAUCAGAUUGAUUCUUCUGAUUUGUGAUCCAUAUCAUGUAAUUAGUCUUUCCCGGAAUUGGGUUUUAUAUCUGUGAUAUAUAUAAUUCACAUUAUCAAUUGGCUUAUAUUUUUUUGACUGUUAUUUUUAUAAUGGAUCAAAUUCUUCCUGGAGCUAUAAAUAAAUAUUAGAUGCUUGCAUCUCAUUCUAACUAGACCGUUGUCAUAUUGACCUCAAAUAUAGCUUCCAAAUGCGACCCGCUUUGAAGUGCCUCAUGUUAUGUGGUUACAUGGUGCUGUAAUUGACUCAAGCAGAGCAUAUAGUUUCAUUUCUCACUUUAUUAUAAUGAGAUGAUGGUAAAAAUAGUAUAUACACUUUAUGAUUAUUUUUUCAAUUUAUUGAAAUUUUACCAAUUAAAAGCAUCUAAACUCACAUAAAUCCUUCAAUUGGUCAAGCACGUGUCAAUUUCACAAGCCAAUAAUAUAAACUACGUGGUAAAAAUUAUUUUUUAAUGUGUUUUUUAUUUUUAAAUGUAUUAAAAUAAUAUUUUUUUUAUUUUUAAAAUUUAUUUUUUAUAUCAACAUAUUAAAAUAAUUCAAAACUAUUAAAAAAUUAAUUUAAAAUAAAUAAAAAUAAAAAGUUAAUGAAAAAUUAAAUAGCUUCAAUGACAUACACAAGAGAGAUAAACAUGGGUACCUUUUAUACAUUUAAUUAUAUCUAAACUUUGACAUGUUAGUUGGGUCACGGGUGGGAUGUCUUUGAAAGGAAUAUUAUUAUGUCUCAAAAAUAUUUGUUGAAUAACAUUCCUUGUAUAAAUAUCAAGUAUUUUAGAUCAAGAUCAGUCUUCUUUCACCGCAGAAUCAGAUUAUUUAAAAAAACAAUAUUCAAGUGUUAAAAUGGAGUAAAAAAAAUAUUAAUAUUGGUUAACCUAAGUUAACAUAAAAAAUUUAUAAUCACGAUAAUUAGAACUGAGUUAAUUUAAAAUAUCUCGUUAAACAUGUAACCCAAAUCAUGAGAGUAGAAUAACUCGAUAAAAAAAAGAUAAACUCUUUUUAAAAAAUAUAUAUAUAUUAACUUUCCAAACCUGAAACCUGAGUUAUUAGAAUUUUUAUUAUACUAAAGGAUUAAAAAAAUGAUGAUCAAAAUUGAAAAAUAGAUUUUAUAUUUGAUUGAAGUGGAAAAUUAAAAUUAAAAAUAAAUUUAGUUAAAAGACAAAAAAAUAAAAAGAAUAAUAAUUAAAAUUGACAUAAAAAACAAAAAAAAAAUUGGUUUGAUUAAAAGGUGAAAUUGAAAAGAAUAAUAACUCUUACAAAAAGGCUAAGAAAAAAUUAAAAAUCAAUAUGAUAAGGACCGAAUUAAAAAACAUAAUAUUAUCAAUCUGAAUUAAAAGUUGAAAUUAAAAACCAAUGGAACUUUUACAAAAAAAACUGAGGAAAAAAAAUCCAAAGAAUAAGGAUGGAAUUGGAAAAUCUAAUAUUUGAUAAAUUGUGAUUGAAGAAUAAAAUUAAAGACAAAUAACACUUCUAUAAAAGGAUCAAAACCAAAAAUUAGAAAUCAAAAAAUAAAAACUGAACUUGAAAUAUUAACAACCAAGAGAGCUUUUUUUUUUUUUUUUUUGAGAGAGAGAGAGAGAGAGAGAGAAGUGCAACGUUGACAAACUAGACCACCACUAAAGAGAUGCGUUGCACCAAUAAAAAAAAGAGACGAUGAUACUUCAUAAAACACAAUAAAAUGGUAAUUUUAGAUGCUGGCAGACGCUGCGAGCACCGCCCAAAAAAUUUAGGCGCCUUCCACAUUUUCACAUGCCUCUAAGUGCAUUACAAACUACUAUUUUUUUUUAAAUCUUUUUAUUUAGCUAAAUACUAAAUUGACAGAACAUGGUAAUAACAAAAAAAUCUUUAGAAAAAGAUGAAAAAACACAUGAUUCCAGUUUGACUUCCAAUAAUAUUUUAAUCAUUUUAUUAUGUUUUAUAUAUAUAUAUAUAUAUAUAUAUAUAUAUAUAUAUAUAUAUAUAUAUAUAUAUAUAUAUAAAAGAUGAAAUUAUCUCUCAUCUUCCAUGAUAAUAUUAAAAAAAAAAACAUUUUAGAAGUAGCCCCUUAAUGGUAUUAUUGAGAUUUUUUACUUUUAAGAGUAUUUCACUCCUUUAAUGUUCUUUUAAAAUGGGGAAGAGACAUAAGUGACUCUAAACAAUUUGAAAAUGACUCUGCACCCCGUGAAAAUACUUUAAAGUCGCUAAUAGAUAGUUAUAAAUUUUUUGAUUGGAGAAGCAAAGAAAUCAUUACUAUUUCAAUGAAUAAUGUAAAAAGUUUGUAGCUAUAGUAAUCUUUCCCAACAGUGUUAGCUUCUUUCAAUAUAUUUAUUUAACACUAGUUCCUUAAUCUAGACGUUAUAUUUAAUUAAUUUUAUCUUUUGAUAGAGAUAGAAAUCUCUCCUCUAUCAUAUAUUAUUCUUUCUUGGUCUAUUAAGUCAACCUUUUUUUUAUAUCAAAAUAAUAUAAUUUCAAGAUUUAAAAAAAUAAUAAUAAAAUAACAUGUUUUAGUUAAAAUAAAAAUUUGAUUCAAAAUAAACUUCUGCUCCAGUAAAACUCUAAAUUAGCAAGUUAUCCGAUCAUACCAAGUUUUUAUAAGUACUGUAAAUACAUCUAAGACUAAAAUAUAUCUCUUCAAAGAAUAUUUCAAUCCUCGAAAAUCACCAGGAAUUGAGAUCAACUCAAGGCAGUCACUUAUCUUUAAUUGAUUUGGUAACUGUUUUUUUUGCUUUUUUCUAUGGUGGGGAGAUUGUUGAGUUGGGUCUAUUGUGAACUGAGUUGUAAUAUUGCUUUCAGAGCAGCUUAUGUUUUCUCAAAUGCACAUUCAUCUUCCAUGUAUCUUACUCAAUCUGGUUCUCCCUGUUUUCCAGCAGGCUCCAUUCUUCCAUUGCACUUUAAAAAAAGAGAACUGGCCAUAUAAUAGCUUGUUUUGCUAGGUAUAUUUUAUAAAUUUCUCCACUUAUUGGCUCGAAUUACAAAUCUUUUAAGCAUAUUGUUCUCAAUAUAUAUGCUUCCGAUAUGAAAAGUGAUUACACAUGUUUGUAGCUUCUGACAAGGCUGAGGUGUAUGUGUUGUGGCAUUAAGUAUGAGAAGGAAGUGAUCAUUUGUAGACGAAGGGGUCGCUUUAAAGAUGUUAAAAUCAUGGUUGAUAACAGUCUAUAAUUUUUGUUUUGCCUUCCAGGAUCUGACCUCUACCUGGCUCUAUUUUAACUACUGUACCUGUCGCCAAAUUUUUGUUACCCUUUUUAACUUGCUGAUGGAGUUGAAGAUGUUCUGCAUUCUCCACGACCUGCUUUCCCUGUUCUUCUCAAGCCAUGGAACAUCGCUUGUUGAAUCUGAUCCGAUAAUCCAAUGGGCGGGCUGAGAUAAGGAACAAGAUGCCACUAUUUAUAAAGCUUUCCUAAUUGCAAGAAGAUAACCAUGAAUUAAUAGCAACAUAUUAUGUAAGAUGAAGGUAGAUUUACAAGACAAAAGGUACAAUAAUUCUUCAGAAAUUUGGAGUCCAUCAGCAUAAUCAUCUAUUCAGCAAGAAUAAUAUUGUUCUUUCUACAAUUACAAAAUUCAGCUUUGAAAUUCUCUUCCUGCCCAAGAACACCAUCAACAUGUAUAUAUAACCUCGUAAAAAUCGAAUUCACAUCCAUAUCUAUAUUAAGCUCUUCUAUCUAUAUGAUAAGCUACUAGCUCCAUUCAUUUUCUUACAUUUUGACAAAUAUACCUAUCUCAUAAAAAUACAAGAAAAUGGUGCAAGUCACUCAUUUAUCCACCAACCAACCUGACAAACACUAUUCUGCAUAAGCUUCAAAUAACCAUUCAAUGGCUUCCUUCAGUCUUCGAGGUCCGAGUCUUUGAGAUACGACUGCACAUAUGAUAGUUAAAAUAGCUAACUUGUGUUAGUUUUGGAAAAAUAAACAACGCUAAACUACAAAAUGCAGAAUGAAGCCAUGAAAUUCAGCAGACAAAUUAUUUUCAAUCCCACCAGAGUUGUGCAGUGUUGUAAGCUUGGAAUGGAUGCCAGCUUUGAACAAUUCCAUAUCCUUAAACUUUUAAGAGACUUGAAGCCAUGAAAUUCACCAGACAAAUAUCUCAGUUCAUCACAUCCGUCAAUUUCAAAUUGUACAAAAGAUGAAAGACGACAUAUCAUAAUGCUUUUCAACUUAACUCAAAGGGAGGAUAUGCUAAAGUUAAUUAAGGAUAAUCUGCUGCAUUCUCAAAAUAGAAUGGCCCAGCAAGCAAAUAGGAAAAGAAGUGAAAGAGUUUUCUACAUGGGAGAUUUAGUUUAUGUCAAGCUGCAACCAUAUUGAUAAAAAUCCAUUCACAAUCGAACUUCUCAUAAAUUAGCAGCAAAGUACUAUGGUCCUUAUCCAGUUAUUAAGAAGAUUGGAAUAGUUGCUUAUGAAUUAAAAUUACCUGCAACAACAGCAAUCCAUCUUGUCUUUCAUGUUUCUCAGCUGAAGAAGCAUGUAGGCAAUCAGACUAUCCACUAUUCCACUCUGAUCUUCCUACUCCUACAAAUAGAUCUCUUCUGCAACCACAAAAAAUUAUCGAUAGAAGAAUGGUCAAAAGAGGGAAUGCUGCAGCUAUUCCGUUCUUGGUUUUAUGGAAGAACUUACCCUUGACAGAAACAACCUGGGAAUAUGCUGAUGAAUUGUGCUUGAGGUUUCCUGAAUUUCACCUUGAGGACAAGGUUAUGGUAUGCAUUGUCAUAGCUGGAAACAAAAAAAGAAGAAAACAAAACAUAGAGGGAAGUGGGAUCGAUAUGUUUGGCAGUGUGGUAGCGGUUGCUUUUCAAAUAACUUUUCAUGCUGAAAUGCAUGUUAAUGAUGUUUUUUUAUUUUUUAAAAUUAUUUUUGAUAUCAACACAUCAAAACGAUCCAAAACAUACAAAUCAUAUUAAAUUUUAACAAAAAAAAAAAUUUAAAAUUUUUAAGAAUUCGAUUUACACCGCGUUCCCAAACUGAACGAAACGAUUGCGUUUUGUGCAGCCUUUUUAAAUAAGAAUAAGUUGGAAAGAAUGGCCAGGUGUAGCCUUUUUAAAUAAGAAUAAGUUGGAAAGAAUGGCCAGGUGUGGAGUGUCACUCUGGCAAUAGGAAAGUAGAGUUUGUCUUUAUAUUCCCUGAUCAUUGGAACAGAAAGGCAUGAAAAAUGAAUGACAGACAUUUUCCAAGAUUCUCUCCCUAAUCCUCUCGUUCUUCCUCCUUUCCAUCUCCUCUAACAAAUUCUAAGAGUGUAACCACCGUUCUCCUUCCUACCUAUCUUUCUCUUCCAUUGUUAUAUCCUUAAGGUUCACCUUUUUUUUCUCUAACUUGCAGCAUAUUUUCAGUUUCAUUUGAUUUGCUUUUUUUAUUUAUUUCCCACACACCUUUACCAUUUAUUUUCACUUCGUUUUAGGAUGGGCUGCCAUGUUUACUUUGGCUAUCAUAGCUACUGCCCUAAUUAGCUUCUUUACCAUCGUGUCAAGUUUUCUGAUUUUGUUCUUUAAUAGAGUAACGGAUGGUUAGUUGUAUUUUUUUUUUCCUGAAAAGCAUGGUUGUGUGCUCUCUUGGUUUCUUUCUUGCAUUUGUUUUUUGAUUGUUUUCUCUAUGUUGUUCUUGGUUUUGGUUCUUUAUUUUUUUUUCUCUUGGCAAUCUCUGGUCAUUGUUAAUUUUUUAUUUCGAUUGUGAGUAUGGCUGUGAAAAUUGAUUUUGCUAAGUCUUUGUUGAAUGUUUUUGGGCGGCUGUAUCGGUUGUUUUGAUCUAUUUGCUCUGCAUCUGUUUUAGCUUUUGAUUAUUUUUUUCUCUUACAAUCCCUAUUUGGUGUUUUUUCUUUGGGUUUUUUUUUUUUAUUAUUUUGAUAGGUUAACCAGAAGAUUUGACAUCUUAUACAUUGGUUUUUUUUGGUUUUGGAUUUUGUUUACUAGGUAUGCCGUGUGGGGCCUCUUCUCCUGCGUUUCCAGCUGUGUUGGGUGAGCUUAUGUGGUUUUAUUUUGCUGGUAAGGCUAACCAUUGAGGUCCUUUACUAGAUGUUUCAACACUUCCAAGGUUACAUAUUUCAUAAAGGAUGAUGUACGAAGUAGUUUAAAGAAUUCAUUGGUUGCUAAACGUUUAGUAUUUGGUUUUUUGAAACUUAGAUGUGUGUUGGUGUUUUAGAAUCAUGGUCAUGAAUGGACUUAUGGUUGGUUACAGAGAUGUCAGAUUUUAUUUAGGCAUUCAAGCGUGAUUCUGUAUCUUGUGGAUCCUCUGGUCCUUUUUUUGGUUGGUUGUGAGGAACUUUUGGUCCUGCAUUUCCAACUUUGGAGCAUGGGCCUAUGCUAAUCAGUUUAUGUUCCUUGGUAGGGAAGCAUGCGAGCAGUUAAGAAUUAGUCUUGGCUGCAAAAAAAAUAUCAAGCAGCUGUCGCUUUUAGUUCAUUUGUUAUGACAACUUGUUGCUCUUUUCUCUUUUGAUAAAACCUAUCGGUUGCUUGAUGUUUCUUUUAGCUAUGGUUUCCCUUUUCUUUUCUGGGUUUUCUCUUUGAUGUUAACAGACUUCAUUGUGCUUCUUUCUCACUCUUACUCGGUGCUCUUUGCAGGUGCUGCUGUUCUUCUGUUCUGUUGUAUAUCUCUGAUAUAUUAACAGCUUGAUUUAUCAAGAUCUGUUUUAUACUGUUGUCAUGGUGUUCAUGUCCCAUGGACGUGGUUGUCUGGUCUUUCUAGCCCCUUUGCUUUCAUUUUUUGCUUUUCUUUGUUGAUUUGGUAACUGUGUUUUUAUUCUUUUUUCCCCCUUUACUAGGGUAGGGAGAUUGUUGAGUCGGGUCUAUUGUGAACUGGGUUGGAAUAUUGCAUUUUGUGCAGCUUAUGUUUUCUCAAAUGCACAUUCAUCUUCCAUAUAUUUUACUCAAACCGGUUCUAGUUUGUUUGGACAGGAAAUAGAAAGUGGCAUAUGCUUCCUUCUGGAGAUUCUUGUCUUUGUAGUUUUUGACAAGGCUGAGGUGUAUGCGUUGUGGCAUUAAAUAUAAGAAGAAAGUGACUAAUUGUACACGAAGGGGUCACAUCACAUGCUGAUGCUGAAGAUUUUGGUCUACGUUGAUGUGUUUACUAAUUUCUAGCAAAUUUUGACUUGGAGUCAGUCGGAGUCAUGUAUGUACCACCUCUCUUGGUUCCCUCUCCCUUAUUCUCUCUAGUUGUCUACAGUUAUAUGAUUGCUGACUUUUCUUUAGUAUAGUGUUGUUUUCUUUUCUUUUAUUCUACUCUUCUUUCCUCUUCCCUUACCUUUGUUUUCUAAUUUUUAUUGUCGAACAUCUAUCACUUGCCUUAUUGUUUUGCUGUCAACUCUGCUAGGAUCACGCCCAUUCUCUCCUCAAUCAGCUUCUUGGCCUUCUUUCAAGGAUCUGAUGGUACAUCUCACUUUUUUUUCUUUCGCUUAUACAUGUUCUUAGCUUUUCAUAGUUGUUAUUUUAAGUACCGCUCCCCCACCUUUACUCAAUCUGUAUCCACCUUUCUUUUAAGUUUGCUUCUACACAGUUGUUAUGCUUCCAGCCUCCAUUUUUACCCCGGAAGCAGUUCCUUUUGUGUUUUUUUGCUGCCGCAGUUAUUUUCUCUUAUACAUUGUGCACGCACUGUUUUACCUCUUUUUUUAUCCAACAUUUCGUUUCAUUUUGCUUGCUUAGCAUCCUAUUCAUCAGUAGAUUUAUGACUUUGCAAGGUGCUGUUUAUGUUGGUGCUCUGUUAGCGAUCUCGGGCCCUAUAAUUAGGUUUUUUUAAGAGGCCUUUAUUCUUCUCUUUUUCAUUUUUUUUGUUAUUUUCGUUGAAUUUUCCAGCCUGUUGUGCAUCACAUAUGCUUUUGUUGUGAUCUUUGUUUAUGUAAAUUUGAUAAGGCAUAUGACAAAAUCCUGGUUAAAUGAUUUUUUCUUUUGAGGUGAAAGAUAUUGGAAAACCGAAGUUGAAAAAUUCAGUUGUGCAUGAAGCGAAUGAGCCUCUAUUAGAAAAUCUGAGCAUAUAUACAAUUAGACAUUGAUGAAGAAGAAGCAAUAACGUAUAAGUUAAAAAUCAUGAGAUCUUUUUUGAAGGGAACAUUGAGCAGAAGAAGAAACUUACUUUGCUGGUGCAAAGAGUUCUAGCUUGGAAAAUACUGUUGUCCUAUGGUUUGAUUUGGUUGUUAAAUACGAAGCAUCAUGUUGGGAGAUUGAGAUGCAAUUUUGGAGUGAUUGUGUUCCCCUUUAUAAGCCACAACUAACAUGCUAGGAUCCUCCAGGCUCCUUUCUACAUGGGUUCGAUCCAUGUGACCUUUUGACCACAAGUUGUUAGAUAUAAGAAUGGCUGGUGUAUCCUCAGAAACCCUUGAGCUGUCGAUUGAAGAGGGCUGGUUUUACCAUUUCUGUUCUACCUGUUGUUUUCAGGAGUAACAAGUCAAGUUUUUGGUACUUCAUUUUUAUGUUAGCAAUUUGUUUUGCUAUUGUUCUGCAAUUUUCUUGUAUCUUCUGAUAUUCUUAAUCUUGGGUGUCAUUAUGCUGAGCGUUGCAUCCACUUUGAGCAGGUCUUUGGCAUUCUACCACAGCAUUACCAUGACGACUGGGAUCAUCCUUGUAAUACUUGUGCUUCUUUUUCAAGUAGUGUAGUUAUAAAGCCUUAGUUCUUGAAAUUGUGAAUUGUGAUAUCGUAUCAGUUAGCCAUCCCUGCCGAUUCAAGUUUCUUUGUGCAUUUUGGUGAGUUUGAUUGUUCAUUCCUCAAGUUCUUUUUUGGAACCAGCAUUUUUCUUCAAAACUAUUUUCUGUUUUGAGCUCAAUAAGAAGGUUUAAACCAAAUUCUUGCGUUGUAAGGUUUAUUCUACAGAUAGAAGCUGAAGUGUGUUUCUUGACCUGAGGAUCCACAUUCCAAUAAAGACCACAGAAAACUGUGCGUCACACAUUUAUCCUAAUAAAUUACCACUAGUCUGCAUAAGCUUCAAAUAACGAUUCCAUGGCGUCUCGUCCUGGAGGUUCCUACAACAGUUAAAAUAGCUAACAUGGUGUUAGUCAUUGAAAGAUAAACAACGCUAAAAUUCAAAAUGGUUGGAGUUAGAUAAUAUAUUACCAAUAUAUAAUUUGAAAAAAUGUUUGAAAAAAUGUUGGAAUAGUAAAAGCUAAUAAUGCCAUGUGAUAGUGUACGGAAUCAAAUUUAGGUUAUAAUAGAAAAAAUCCUCUGCAUGCAAAGUAAAUAAAAAAAAAUAUUUAAAUCCCAACUUAUUUGUACACGUGUAUGCUCUAUUAUGAUUGUUGGGAUAUGAGAAAUCUUGGGCCACUCAGAGCCGUUCUCCUUUCUACAAUUUUCUGAGAGAUGUGGACAUCCCCACCAAAUCUGAAAUUUCUUUAAUUUGGAGAGGCGUUGAAUGGCUGCUGAGCUUGGCAGAUACUUGAGAUUCUUGCAAUUCGCAAUCUCAAGACGUCGAAGAGAAGAAAGGUUGGCCAACCAUUCUGGCAAAGCUUCCUCAAAUUCCUCUCCCUUGAAAUCCCUUAUAGAUAAUUUCUCAAGGGCAGUGAGGUGUUGAAGUUGAUGGGGGUACACUCUUCAGUUUAUCCCACCCCCAUAUCUGUAGUUUUUGAAGGGACCCACUCAAGUUGAGGUGUUGGAUUGAGUUUAAAAAUCCUGCAGGAAAAGCCUCCAUCUCCUCUGAGAAACAACCACCGAUGCUCAAUUCCUUCAGUUGGGUGAGGCUGCCUAACCAAUCAUCCUCUGGGAUAUCUCUCAAACAGGGACACAUACUGAUUUCUAAUUCAACAAGAGAACGUAAUUGUCGUAAACCAUGCCAAUCAAUAUUGAUGAGCUUCUCACAUGAUGAAAUGGUUAAUCCUUGAAGCGAAGACAGUUCUUGUAAAUCACUGAUAUGGAUAAGCUCUCUACAAUUCCUUAUCCGCAAUUUCCUUAGAGAUGCGCAACAUUGUAGUCCGCUUGGAAGAGCUCCCAAUUUACACCCAUAAACAAUCAAUCUCUUCAAAGAAUAUUUCAAUUCUCGAAAAUCACCAGGAAUUGAGAUCAACUCACUGCACUGUUGUAUACUCAAUUCCACCAGAGCUGUGCAGUGUUGUACGCUUGGAAUGGAUGCCAGCUUUGAACAAUUCACUAUCCUUAAAAUCUGAAGAGACGCGAAGCCAUGAAACUCACCACAUAAAUAUCCCAGUUCCUCACAUCUUUCAAUUCUAAAUUGUACAAGAGAUGAAAGACGACAUAUCGGAAUGCUUUUCAACUUGCCACAACUCCAAAUACUCAACUUUUCAAGACAAGGAAAUACUUGAUCACCUUCUCUACCUGGUACUAUCCAUUCUUCAAGACCAUCCAUAUCCUCCAAAGUGAGUUCUUUUAGUGCUGGAAACAGUACUGCUGCACCGCCACUGCUACUAUAGAACUCAUUGCCUAUACAUUUCACAUUACGCAUUCCACUCAUCUCUAGAAUCUUAAGGCGAGGAAGACAUCCAAGUGCUGGGAGUUGUCUGCACUUGCUGCAGUCUUUCAUUCUCAGCACCGUCAGAUUAUUGAGUGGCAAUGUAGACAUCCAUGAUGGGAAAUAUUCACCUCCAUAACCCUCAAUUGUCAAGCUUCUUAUGUCUACGUGAGGCUGCAGGCCUUCUAGCACAUACUCGUUGUUAACAUUGCGGUUACCUUCAAGGCUCCAUUUAAGCACCAAUUUGUUCAUUCUUUUUCCACGCAGUUUUGCCUUCUCAGCUUCUUCUCUGUCUCUCACUUGCUCAAGCUUGCAUAUCUGCAAUUCUCCUCUUAGUUCAUUCAAACAUCCCAGCUCUUCAACCAUAUGAUUUUGACCCACAACAAAAAAAGGCAGAGUUUGAAGGCGUGUUAAGAGUCUCACCUCAGCUGGCACUAGCUUUGGAUCAUCAAAAUGAAGAUGUCUCAAGCUGACUAAAUUUCUCAUUUUCUUGGGAAGCUUUUCUAGUGACUUGCAAUCAGUGAAUCUUAAUGUUUCCAAAUGGUAGAGCUUGGUGAUGGAUUCCGGCAAUGCUCUGAUACUGGUACGCGAGACAUCAAGAUAUCUCAAAUGCCUCAGCUUCCAAAUUGAAUCGGGUAACUCUGUGAUAUUAGGCCCUCGCAAUUUGAUAGUUCUCAAACUUUUGAAUUUCCAAGACCCAUUGAAUACAUCAACCAUUGAGAAAACAGUAUGCAAUUUUCUAGCAUCAUCCGCUGGAAAUAUUGACUCGACAUCCCCACAAGAAAUGAGAUUGAGAUGACGAAUAUGAGAUGCACCAUCUACAGCCGAACCCGCCUCCAGAUUUAACGUUUCUGAUUUUGAGACCUGUAAUGCAAGAUCAUGCACAAAAUCAUGCAUCUUGCAACUUGUUACGAUCUCAUACGCAUUCCUUUCAACAUCUUGGAAAAAGGAAUUUGCAUGCAAGUCAUUGAAAUACUUGUUGCCUUCAUCUUCCAUCCUCCCAUUUGAUGGCCUGAGAAAACCUUCAGCCAUCCAAAGUUGAAUUAGCUCUUCCCUUCCGAUUUUAAAAUCUUUAGGAAAAAUGGAACAGUAUGAAAAACAUUUUUUCAGUGAUGGCAAUGACAAGUAAUCAAAACUGAGUCUCAAUAUGCGCAAAACUUUAUUUCCAUCCUGAUAAUCCCAAAUUCUACUGUUUAGAAUUGACUUCCACUCCUGUGCCUGCUUUCCGUGAAGAGUUCCUCCCAAAACUUUAGCAAGUAAUGGAAUCCCUCCACAUUUCUUUGCAAUAUCUUUUCCAAUAGACUCCAAGUCCGAAGCUAUUGUUUCUCGUCCACCCCUGCUCACCUUUUGCUUGAUAAUGGACCAAGAUUGAUCAUCUGAAAGUUGCCCUGGCUCGUGCUGACUCCCUGGAGAAGUCUUCAUCGUGUCCGCUACUUCCUUAAUGCGCGUUGUUACAACAACAGCAUUCCCAUUCUUAUUGUUGAUUUUUAACAGUUGCUCCUUCAAAUCAUUCCACUUAUCAUGGCCUUCCCACACAUCAUCAAGUACAAGAAAAAAUGUCUUCUUUUCCAGCUUUUCCUUAAGUUUUUUCAUAACUGCAUUUAGAUUGUUCAACAUAGUUCCAUCAACAUCUUGCAACAUCUCUCCUAAAAUCCUCCCUUUACUAAAAUCAUUAGAAACGCAAACCCAUAUUGUUACAUCAAAAAGCUUUUUCUCCCUCACUACUUCACAAAUUUUUUUUGCUAUAGUAGUCUUUCCGAGGCCACCCAUCCCCACUAUAGGGACAACAGAUAGAACUUGUUGAUCAGUCGAGCCAAUCAGCAAUUUCACAACUUUAGAGACAUCAUCCUCCCUUCCUACUACAACUUCUGAGCUUUCAAGCAAGGAAUCUGUCUCUCGCUCUAUAUCCCGGAUAACUUCAGGAGCACUCUCUACAUGUUGAGAUGCGAUUCCCAGCCCAAAGCCAAUUGCAAGUUUCUGAAUCUCAUCCAUUGAUCCAUUGAUCUCCUUAACUUUUUGACCCAUAUUCAGACGGAAUGCAACAGGGUUGUGCAGUGAAAAGCAGUCACGUACCUUUCCCUUCUUUUGGUCUUUUCGGAGAAUCUCAUAAGCAAACUCGUCUAGAACAUCUUCAGCAUCGUAAGCUACAUCUUGUAGCUUCUCCAGCCAAAGCUUCGCAGACUUGUCUGUUACUGGCCUUCUGGCUGCAUCUUGGAGCACAGCUUGGAUCAUGGUCAAGGACUGGUUGAGCUUUUGCAGCUGUCCCUCCAAUCCCCAGGCAAGUCUGAUCCCUUCAGCAGCUAUGGAACUGACCCUUGUCAAAGUCUCCUCCAUGGCAAACGUAAGAAAAAGCUCUGCUGCCAUAUUCUCUUGUUUUCUUUGGGAAAUCAGAGAAGAAAGAUUGAGGAAAAGAGAGAGAAGAAUGGUCUGAAAGUUGUGAAAUAGAGAUGAAAUGAAGAGUGUUUUGGAAUGAUGAGAUGCGUUCAACUUGAAAGCAGAGGUCCCUCCCUCCCUGUACUAAUUGAUUGAUGGCAGAGGCAGCAUCUUCCACGAACCACUGCUGUCAAAUUAGUCAUGCAAAGGCGAAGAAAAUGACCCAUGGCUACUGAAAGGAAUGGACUUGCUUGGGGAUUGGAAGGCCAGCUGCAAAAGCUCUGGUAGGAAAUGAGAAACACACAAGAUUAACUCCUUUUUCUUCUAUAAUAUUUUGGAAUGCAUUGAACAUUAAAGCAGAGAAAGUUGCAUGAGGGUCCCUUCCUCCCUAUACUAAUUGAUUGGUGGCUGUUGGCAGCAUCUUCCACGAACCACCACUGUCAAUUUGUCAUGCCAUGGCUAAUAAAAUUCCACACACGCCUCUGUCGGCAUAUUGUAUUUAGUACGACUUUUUGCAGAUUUUUCCUUUUACAUUUUUUGUAAAUUUCUCACUACAGUUUUAGCUACAGAACAUCAUGAAUGUUCCCACCUACGCCAUGAAACAAGACCUUUCUAAGACUCCACUUUCUUAUUUGGUCUCUCUAUUUAGAAGGCGGGAUGAAAAUGAGAGAUCCCACCUCCAGAAGGAUAUUGCUAGACCUUUCGUCGUCUGCAUAUGUAGCCAGCCACCUCCCUCGAUCCAUCAGAAAACUGAGAGAAGAUCAGUUCCUCUAAAAUGUUCAUAUUAAACGUAGGACAGACUGAAAGAUUAAGCAACUUAUUAAUCUAUGUAUAUUGAAUUUCCUUAAUUACUCUUUCUAGUACACGAGAGCUCACAAGAAAAUGGUGUGAGCAUAUAUUUUAAUAAUUUCUUAAUGCAUAUAUAUAAAUGUGAUGAGAUUUAUAAGUUGUACACGAGAGCUCACAAGGAAGCCGUUGGCCGGCCAGUUGCUUUCUAGGAUUGGACUUUUUCAAUCAAUGUGAUGAGAUUUGUCAUAUGAUUUGGUAUUGGUGGAGUAUGAAGGCAUACAUUCACUACUUGUUCAUAUGCACCAGUCCUUAACCUCAUUAUCCAUUUCCACGUGCUUAUAUAAGUCUAUUCCCUCAAUAGUUUACAGAAGUGUUUGCCUUGUGAUCCUGCGAGAUGCCCCGUUGCCUAAUGAUGACUUUAUAAACCACCAUUCAGAAUUUUCAAGACCUAAUGAUGACUUUGUCUAGAUUGGCUGGUCACAGGUGGUAAUGUGGUGGUUGUUUUUUAAAUAAAUAUUUUAUUAAAAUAUAUAUUUUUUAUUUUUUUAAAAUUAUUUUUUACAUCAGUAUAUUAAAAUAAUUUAAUAAUAAUAAAAAUAUAUUAAUUUAAAGUAAAUAAAAAAAAUUUAAUUUUUUUUAAAAUACUUUUAAAAAACAGAAACAUACAGACUUAAAUGUCUCGUUUUUGUGAACUCACCGAUUGCUCAGGUCCUUCAUUUUUUUAAAUUACCUUGUGUCUACUCUCUGCCGAAGUCUUUUUUUUUUUUGUUUUUGUUUUUUUUUUUUGAGGUAACGUAUUCUGAUGAAAGGAAGCAGUUGGCCGGCCGGUUGCUUUCUAGGAUUGAUAUUUUUACGAUGAAGAAAAUAAUAGAGUUUAGGGGAGUGGAUCCCAGUCCCAAUUUACCACAAAAAUCUCGAAUCAAGAUAUUAACAGCCGGAAAUACUUACUUUUAGACUCCGGUGUUUAAGUUGACUAUUAUCUACCUUCUUAUCUUGUUCUGGUUUCACAUCAGUAAUAUCUCUUCAAUUGUUUUUUAUAUUAAGAUUACCUUACCUUUCAAAUCGCUAGAAGAUAUAUUAGAGAAUCUUAAAAAGAAAAUAAACUAAGUAAUUAAUUCAUAAGCUCACAUCAAAAUACCUAAAUAAAACAAUCAAUCAUACAUAACACCAUUGUUUCAUAGGUAAAGUUUUUUUUAAAAUUAUAUCAUAUUUCUACGGGUUAUUUAAAUUAUUUUUGAACUUAUUAAAUUAAAUAAUUAGUUUAAUUUGAAAUUUGAGUUAGGCAAGAAACCGGGUCGAUAAGUUUCAAAAUUAAAUUGUUUAAUUGAAUUUAAUGAUAUUGCCAAAAAAAACUUCAUGCUCAAUUAUUUUUUAAGUUUAGAAAAAAGAAUAGUAUGAGCUUGAAUAGAAAAAAUAUUAUUCUUUUAAUGUUAGAUAAUGAUUUACAUUUCAUAACAAAACUUGAUUUCUCAUCAAAUUUAUGUGAAUUUAGUUUAAACUCUUAAUUAGUAAUUUCUUUUUUGAAUUGUUGAUUUAUAUAAAUGAAUUUAAAGCUUGAAACUUCUUCUUUUUUUUUUUUUAUAACUCGGAGUGUCCGGGCUAGCUUACGCGUACCACGACUAAUCUCCGGACCCACUGAACACCCUGCAAGCCCAGUAGAUAGGGAAGACACCACGGGGGUGACAGGCGUGCACGCUGAGGCUUGAACUCAGGAAGCAGAAGCAGGGAAACCCUGCCAGGACCGCUGGCCACAAGCCUCGGUGCAAAGCUUGAAACUUCUUGCUGCUGCUGCCGCUGUAAGAAUAUCAAUGUAGCUAUUUUUUUCUUUUACCAGAGUUUGUAUUUACUACAUAUUUUUCAUGUAAACUAAGCAAGACGUAUAUCAUAACGCAGGAGGGAGAGAAUGUUAAGUAAUAUUUAUCUAGUUUUAUUUAUUGAGGGUAGAAUAGUAUUUUCAGUUUAACCUGCUGCCGCUGUAAGAAUAUCAAUGUAGCUAUUUUUUUCUUUUACCAGAGUUUGUAUUUACUACAUAUUUUUCAUGUAAACUAAGCAAGACGUAUAUCAUAACGCAGGAGGGAGAGAAAACUCAUAGAAACAAUCAAUCUAGUCAUACGACAUCGUUAUAUAUUAUUUAAAAAAAUUAAUCAUUCUGUGUUACUUUCCUGGAAGCAAUAGAAUUUUAUUAGUGACUGCAUCCUGACCACCCUAUGAUUUAUUAUGAUCAACAAAUAGUUCAUUCUCCAGUCUAGAUUUGAUUCUGUCAUGGAUGAACGCCUUCCCAUCAUUAUUUGUGUGCAAGAAUAUGUAGCACUUUGAACUUGUAAGGUUGUAGUCUAGGUUUAAUUCUUUUUUAAUUUAUUUAUUUUGUUGUUGUUCUAUUUAGCAUCUGCCUGCAAUAUCAGCACCUUAACUCAAAGAUCUAUCUCUGCCCCCAUAUAAAGUCUCUUAUUUAUGGACUUCUCUUCUCCUGUUGCUUGUAGAAUUCUUCUUCUUUCUCCCUGUCCAAUUAUCACUGGAAAACUCCAUCUGGUUGCCGACUUAUAGCAGCUGCAUAUCCACCCUUACAAGGACUCAUGCACACAUCUGCUGCCAGGAAUUUCUGUUGCUGCCGAUUCUUUUCUGCUGAUUUCUGCUCCACCUGGGUCCUCAUCAGAUCCAUGGUGUAAAACAAGAAAUUUACGUGAUUUUUGGAUCAUUUAUAUCUCUACAUAUAAUGGUUGAUAUAAUACAAAAGAGAGAUGAAGACUUCUAGAGAGAGGAGUCUAUUAAUGAUGGUGACAUCCAUGAAAGGGUCCAGAAAAGAAAUAAAGACCUGGAAUUACAGUAUAGUUUUCAAGACUUGUUGAAGUUUCUAAAACUUUUUGGAUGAAUUAAAAUCGACUUCGAGGUUGGAAUGAGUUUGUAGAGGCUGUUGAAUUUACUACAACUAAUUAAGUUGCUAUUUUCUUCCUGUGCAUGCAAAUCUUAUAUCGGUGGAGAAAAACUUAAUAGAGAGACUAUAAUGCCUUGCUCAGAUCACAUCAACGCUGCAAUUUAGACUUGAAUAAAAUUACUAUUAGGAUCAAACUGGCUCUAUCAUUCUCAGCAAAUCAGAAUUUGUUUUCCCCAUACAGAUACUAUAAGCAGGCAACCUUCUGUGUAUCUUAAUCAAAAUGAUUCAACUAGAUAUCGAAUAGUGGCAUCUGAGCUUCAUUUUGAAACAUAUUUGAAUAAUUUCCUGCCACUUCUCCUGAAAACAUGGUGUGAUUUCUUGAAAGUUAUCUAUAUAUCAUUUAAAAAUAAUCACAAUCUAAUUAAAACACAAACCCAAGAUUUAUUUGAAAAAAUACAUAUCAAAUAAUGCAUUAUUUUUUUUAAAAAAAUUAAAAAUAAAUAAAUUAGGUCAAGCCUAACACUUGACCCAAUAAAACAAUGGCCCGCAUGCGGGCCUGCAAGGCCAAGCGUAAGCACAGACCUUUAUUUUUUUAAGUUUAAUGGGGCGAGUAGACGUGUCAUCCACUCUAAGCAUUUCAAAAAAAAAAGACGUCUGCAUCAGCAAACAACGCAUCGUUUACACAACCUAGAAUCCGGUCACUGUGGCGGUUGGAAAAUCAGGGUCCUUUGUUAUUUUUACCCAAAAAUUCAAUUUAUAUCCAUUUUUUACUCAAAACUCUUAGAAAGCACCCUAUAGACCUUCUUGAACGGCCGUCAAAAAACAACCCAAAACCUGAAAUCCACCAAACAAAAUAUUUCGAAGCUCAGAUCUAUUUUUGUUGGUGUUUUCAAGGUAAACAAACACCUAGUCAUAACUUCCCUCAUCAUAAAGAACCUUUUAAUGGUCAAGACUGUUUGAUAGCUGAAAUCUUUUCAAACGAUCACUUUUUCUCUCUAAAUUGGAAUUCGACGGCUUCCUCUCUCUCCUCUCACCAAAAAAGAAUUGAAAAAAAAAGAGAAAAAUGAAGUUAAGUACUAACAUAUAUUUUUUAAAAAUUUAAGGGAUUGGUCACCUAAUAUCUAUCUAAAAAAAAUUAGGGACUAAAAUGGCUUUUUUUUUCCAUCUGUUUGGGUGAUGUUGGUGGGCUUUGGUCUGGAAGCAUGAUUGUUUUUAUUCUUGGGCUAUUUGUUUCUUUUGCUUGGGCCUGCUACCUAUUGUGUUCGACUCAUCAACUCAUUUUGCAUCUGCCUUUCACUCUGCCUCUCUUCACGUGGUUUCCCGCCCUGCCCUUCUCUCUCAAUUGAAGCCACCAAUGGGAGUGCAUCUCUUUGUCCUUUCAAUUUACAGUGUUGGCGCGCCUUGCUAACUUUUUUUUUACUGCCAUCCCUGGCUGCUAUUUCGGCUUGCUGUUUCUAGGGGUGGGUGCUGAUUGGAUGAAUUCUAGGUUUGAUUCACUAGUCUUCCUCGCUUGAUUGAUGCUCUGGGAUCGCUGCCCAUGAAAGACGCUCCCAUCUUAGCAAGUUGUGCAGGAUGUUUAGGGUUCUGUUUUGUUGGGAUGGGUGCUAGACGAACGUGCUUGCCUCUUCAACUGGAUUUGGUUUCGAUGGCCCAUUCCAUCUUCUUUGAUUGAUGAGAGUUUAGGUAUGAAUUUUCAGCUUGAUUUGAAUCUUGCAUCAACUUUGAUUGAUGAGAGUUUAGGUAUGAAUUUUCAACUUUGAUUGAUGAGAGUUUAAAUUGUCCCUUCAAUUUACAGUGUUGGCGCACCUUGCCAUUAAAAUUGGAGUUUGAUAAUAAUUUUUCUGGACAAGUCUUUGUAUUAAAAUUGUAUCAAUUUCUAUAUGAAUCUUUAAAAAAACUUAAACUUUAGGUGUAAUGGAAUCUACCCAAAUAGACACGCUAUAACUGCAAUGUAAGGAAAUGACUAAAUUACUUACAAACUUGAUAAAAUAGUCAAUUGUAAAAGAUAAAAAUAUGGUUUAUAAAACUACUAAAUACUAAUUAAUUAUCAUAAAUACCUCUAGGUUUUGGGGUUCCAUUUCCAUGUACUUUGCGAGGGUUUCUUGGACGGCAAGCCAAAAAUGAGAUUAAAUCUAAGCUAUUGAUAUAAAACCAUGAGAAAAAUCCAAUGGUGAAUAGGAAAUCCAAGUCAUCUUUCCAUGUCAAAAUGAUUUCCCUCUCAUACCAAAACCUAAACCAACCAUUGGCGUCAUUUUACAACUGUCAUAACUGAAAUUUCCUUCUUGUCACAAGUCAAGUUUGAUUCGAGGGGAGGAAAGAAUUGCACUGGACAUAAGGUUGUUUUCAAAUCAAAUGAACCUUAGACAAUAUGACCAUUAUGAUUUAGUUAUAGCUAUACAAGAGUUUUAUUAGUGCAGGGUUUGUUAAGAAAAGAUGCCACGUAUGGCCAAUAGCAAGAAUAUAGAAAGUUAUCUUCAUAUAUAAGAUCUGUAACAGAAUUGGAGAAGGAUAAUAAUUAACAUAAUGAAUGAAUGUUGAGCUGAAUUCGUGGAAUUCUGCUUCUAUCUCUCUCUUCUUCUUCCAUCUGCUCACUAACCUGUAAACACCAUGACUGGAACUUGGCUACCAGCCAUUUCCAUCACUAAGGCACCUCUGGAUGUUAUCCAGAUUGGUUCCCACUCAAUCAGACACGCAACACUUCUCCUUUUAUUCUCAUUCUUAAAAUCUCUAAGUAGUUAUGAUUUGUUUGAUUUUUUUAAAUCAAUUUCUGGGUUUAUCUAUUUUUGUGUGCUUGAAUUGAUAUUGGGUUUUAAAAUUAUGGGUUCUUUGAUUUUUUUGAAGAAAUUGAGUAUCCCGGUUGAUUUUUGAACAAACUCUGUUUCUGGGUGUUUAUAGUUUUGUGUUCUCAGCUUUAUUUUGGGAUUUUCAAUCAUGGUUCUUUGACCAAGCUGAACAAUGAAAUUGGCAACAGCCCUGACAACUGGUUUUGGGACAGGUUUUGAAAGUGCCCCAGAACAUAUGGAAUCAACCCAGAUAGUAAAUUGGAACUCAAAUCAAGAUAUUGCAGACUAAGGAGAUUCUGGAAAGUGGCUGGGAUCAGACCUGAUAAUGAAAUUCUUUCUUAACUAAAUUGCUGGAGCUUUUCAAAGUUUCCUAGGCUAGGAAGAAUCUGCCCUCUCAAAAGGUUUCCACUCAAUAAGAGGGUAUUGAGAAAGGACAAACGGCCUAAACCAGGAGGAAUUACAUAAAAAGAUUCGUUGAUUUCACUGUACAAGAUAUAAUUAAUUGUUCAUCAGAACGCUUGCCAACAACCUCGUUUCUGCUCAGCUGCUAUUGAUGAGCGUCGGUCAGAGACUUUGUUUGGGGGUCAUCUCCCUUCUCAUUUAAGCUAGGGCGUAUGUGUCAGUUUGGUUUCCCCUUGCAUGGGCUGGGCUGGAGCUAUUGCAUUUCGGGCUCAGCUCAUCUUCUCCUUUGUUGCAAUAUUUUUUUUCCCUGGCUGGCUUAAGCUUAAGUCUUAACCCGUUUUUCCCGCGCUUCUCUGUUAAUUCUAGAUCGAAGGCACCAGGGACAGAGCUCUUUUCAUGUUGCAGGAUGGCUUCUUUUUGGCCUUCUGGCGCGCAAGGUUAACGCAGCUUCUCAGCCCUUCUCCUCUUUCUUUUUUUAUUGAGUUUUCGGUUUGCUUUUUUGAGACAUCUCAUUGCUGAUGUGGCUGUUUUUUUCUCUGAUUUGCAGGUUAGUUAUUCCUGGAUUGGUGCACUGUAAUGAUUGCCCAUGAAAAACGCUUCAAUUUGACAAGUUAUUCAUAUUAUAAUUUGUGUCGGGGGAAGAGCUGAUUGAGCGUCCUAUUCAUCUGGGACUGGUUUCCUAGGGCCUGGCCAUUCCAUCUUCUUUAUGGGUUAGUGGCUAGGUAUGGUCUUCAUGCAGCCAGGUUUGGUAAAGCUUUAUUUUCAGUUUCAUUUUAUUUGCUUUUUUUAUUAAUUUCCCACACACCCUUACCACUCCAUUUCACUUCGUUUUAGGAUGGGCUGCCAUGUUUGCUAUGGCUAUCAUAGCUACUGCCCUGAUUAGCUUCUUUCUCAUCGUGUCAAGUUGUCUAAUUUUGUUCUUUAAAAGAGUAACGGAUAAAUGAUUAGUUGUUUUUCCCCCCUGAAAAAUAUGGUUGUGUGCUCUCUCAGUUUCUUUCUUGCAUUGUUUUUUGGUUGUUUUCUCUAUGGUGUUUAUUCUUGGUUUUGGUUCUUUAUUUUUUUUUCUCUUGGCAAUCUCUGUUCAUUGCUAAUUUUUUAUUUUGAUUGUAUGGCUGUGAAAAUUGGUUUUGCUAAUCUUUGUUGAAUGUUUUUGGGCGGUGGCUAUAUUGGUUGUUUUGAUCUAUUUGCUCUGCAUCUGUUUUACCUUUUGGUUAUUUUUUGCUCUUGCAAUCCCUAUUUGGUGUUUUUUCUUCGUUUUUUUUUAUUGUUUUGUUUGCUAGGUUUUUUGUGUGGGGCCUCUUCUCCUGCGUUUCCAACUUUGUUGGGUGAGCUUAUGUGGUUUUAUUUUGCUGGUAAGAUCAAUAAUUGAGGUCCUUUUGCAACUAUUUUUUUUUCUUUAAAGAUUAGUGCAUUCAUGAGUUGUUUUGUCAUGUUCUUCCUUUGUGGAUGUUCUAGACUUCAAGUUUGUUGCUCUUGGUUGUGGCUGGCUGGGUGCUGAAAAAAUUUCUUUAAAAAAGAGAACUGGCCAUAUAAUAGCUUGCUUGGCUAGGCAUAUUAUAUUGAUUUUGCCACAUUUUUUUAUUGGCUCAAAUUAUGAAUUUUUUAAGCAUAUUGUUCUCAAUAUAUAUGCUUCUUAUAUGAAAAGUGAUUACACAUGAUUGAUGUCUUAAUAAAUUGAUUUAUUUCAUUUGUUUGGACAGGAAAUAGAAAGUGGUUUCACUUCUGGAGAUUCUUGUCUUUGUAGCUUCUGACAAGGCUGAGGUGUAUGCAUUGUGGCAUUAAAUAUGAGAAGAAAGUGACCAUUUGUACAUGAAGGGGUCGCAUCACAUGCUGAUGCUAAAGAUUUUGGUCUACGUUGAUGUGUUUACUACUUUCUAGCAAAUCUUGACUUGGAGUCAGUUGGAGUCAUAUAUGUACCACCUCUCUUGGUUCCCUCUCCCUCAUUCUCUCUAGUUGUCUACAGUUCUAUGUUUAAGUCAGUCGCCAAAUGUUUGGUGUUUGGCUGUUGUUAUUCAAGAACUAAAUUAUUUAUACAUUGAAGCGAAAGAAUGCAGCGUAUUAUUUUGGUUUUCUUUCUCAUCAAUUUUCAUUUCAAUCGAUCCUUGGAAAAAAGGUCUAUGUCCAUCUUUCCAUCUUUCUUUCGUGGUUGUUGUCUUUCUUUUUAUUCGUUGGCUUUUCGAUCUAUUUAAAUAUUGCUAGUUUUGUGAUGGUGUUGUUAUUCAAUUGAUCUAGUUGUCCCCUUCUUUGCAGGUUUUUCAUUUGCAGGCCUUUGCUUCUUUUUCUUAUCUUUCUCUGCCUUUCCCCUGUUUCUGUAGUUGACAGUGGUGGGUUCUUGGUUGCUUCUCUUAGAGCUUUUCAUUAGAAUGGCUUCACCUGUGGUUUUGGUGAGCUUGUGUUGAUCUAGUUUCAAAUUUGGCUGCUGUCUUUUUUUUGGAUCUGUGCCUUUUGGAUUAUCUUUCAACUUUUAUGUCUACAUUUGUGUUGUUUUUAAAUGGAUUUUCUCGCCCUUCUCAUUUGCAGAAGUUCCAGCUGGACAACUACAUUGGUUCUUUCCCACGCACUGCGCCCUUUUCCUCCUGCGCCUGAGAAGUUUGUUGAUGUUCUCCAGAGUCUUUUUCUUGCGUCCAUCCAUCUUCCUAUAUGAUUGCUGACUUUUCUUUAGUUUAAUGUUGUUUUCUUUUCUUUUGUUCUACUCGUCUUUCCUCUUCCUUUACCUUUGUUUUCUAAUUUUUAUUGUCGAACAUCUAUCACUUGCCUUAUUGUUUUGCUGUCAACUCUGCUAGGAUCAGCUUCUUGGUCUUUUUUCAAGGAUCUGACAGUACAUCUCACUUUUUUUCUUUCGCUUAUACAUGUUCUUAGCUUCUCAUAGUUGUUACUUUAAGUACCCCUCCUUUGCUCAAUCCGCAUCCAUCUUUCUUUUAAGUUUACUUCUACAUAGUUGUUAUGCUCCCAGCCUCUAUUUUUACCCCGGAAGCAGUUCUUUUUGUGUUUUUUUUGCUGCCGCAGUUGUUUUCUCUUAUACAAUGUGCAUGCACUCUUAUACCCUUUUUGUUUUUUAUCCAACAUUUCGUAUUAUUUUGCUGGCUCAGUGUCCUAUUCAUCACUAGAUUUAUGACUGCAAGGUGUUGUUUAUGUUGGUACUUUGUUAGCGAUCUCGGGCCCUAUAAUUAGAUUUUUUAAGAGGCCUUUAUUCUCCUCUUUUUCAUUUUUUUUUGUUAUUUUCCUUGAAUUUUCCAGCCUGUUGUGCAGCACAUGUGCUUUUGUUGUGAUCUUUGUUUAUGUAAUUUUGAUAAGCAUAUGACAAAAAUCCUGGUUAAAUUAUUGUUUCUUUUGAGGUGAAAGAUAUUGGAAAACCAGACUUGAAAAAUUCAGUCGUGCAUAAAGCAAAUGAGCCUCUAUUAUAAAAUCUUGAGAGAGCAUAUAUACAAUUAGACAUUGAUGAAGAAGAAGCAAUAACCUAGAAGUUAAAAAUCAUGGGAUCUUUUUUUAAGGGAACAUUGAGUAGAAGAAACUUACUCUGCUAGUGCAAAGAGUUCUAGCUUGGAAAAUACUGUUGUCCUAUGGUUUGAUUUGGUUGUUAAAUACGAAGCAUCAUGUUGGGAGAUUGAGAUGCAAUUUUGGAGUGAUUGUGUUCCUCUUUAUAAGCCAAAACUAACAUGUUAAGAUCCCCCAGGCUCCUUUCCACAUGUUUUCUUACGGGGCAUCCCCUCCUGCUGCUGCAUGUAUUCUCCUUUGAAACUUUAUAUCAAUGGGAUGCCAAGGCUUAAACACUUGAACAAGUUCUCCCAUUCUUUGAAGCUCAAACUCUCACCUUCUAACUCCAGUUUUUGCAGACCCCAUAUUAAGGUAUGUUUUCACAGAAGAGUUUUCCUUUUAUGAAAAUGGUAAUGCUUUUGACUGCCUUUUCUUACCUAGGCAUUAGGCACUAGCUUUUGAGCUGGAAAUUUUUAGAGCCAUUGAUGUAUUUUCUUUGCCGGAAUGCGUCUUGUGCGAUAAGGAUGUGUUCGUAGGAAAUGUGGGAGAGGAUUGAUAGGGUGGUUGGUGGGCUCGAUCCAUGUCACCUUUUGACCACAAGUUGUUAGAUAUAAGAAUGUCACCUUUUGGUCAUCUAAUCGCAAAGUUGUUUUUCCACAUCACUUUCAUUCUCAAACCUCAUGGUCAACUCCUCGUCAGUCUUCUUCUCCUCAGCAGGCUUCUCCCUGACAAUCCAAUCGUAACAACUAUCAACGACAUGGCUACAGAGGUGUUUGUCAAUUCUGUGACCAACAAGGUCAUAGUGCAAAGCAAUGUCUACUUACAAAGGGUCUUCCCGGUCCCUCACCUGUUGCUCACUGCACCACCACAAACACUGCCCCUAGACAACCUUGGCUCCUGGAUUCUGCUGCCACAAAUCAUGUCACCUCUUAUCUUCACAACCUUUCCUUUCACUCAUCCUAUGAUGGUCCUGAUUCAAUACUCAUUGGUGAUGGUACAGGUUUGCGUAUCUCUCAUUCUGGUUCCACUACACUUUCUCCCUUCACUCUCUCUAAUGUUCUAUGUGUUCCUUCAAUUCAAAAAAAUCUGGUGUCUGUUUCUUAAUUUUGCAAACAACAUCUAACUUCCAUUGAAUUCUUUCCCUCUCAUUUUUCUGUGAAGGACCUACGCAUGAGGCAGACUCUUCUUCAAUGCCCGAAUAAGAAUGAUAUUUAUGAAUGGCCUUUAACUGUACAUGUGCAACCGUCUGCUAUGAUUGGUGUCAAAACAUCAGUAAAUGAGUAGCAUAAACGGCUCGGUCAUCCCUCUUCUCGCACAAUUCAAUCUCUUCUCAAGAAUUUUUCUUUACCUGUCACAUCAAAAAAUAUGUGUUCAACAUUGUGCUCAUCUCGCCAAUGUAAUAAAAGUCACAAGCUUCCAUUUACAAUGUCGUCUCUUACAAGUCAUAGUCCUCUUGAAAUCAUUUACACUGAUGUCUGGGGUCCUGCCUCUGUUGAAUCCAUUGAUCAAAACAAAUAUUUUGUUAUUUUUGUGGAUCAUUUCACUAAAUACAUUUGGCUUUAUCCCAUUAAAUACAAAUCUAAUGUGUUCACUAUUUUUCCAACCUUCAAAAAUCUUGUGGAAAAUUACUUCAAAACCAAAAUAAUUCCAUUUAUUCAGACGGUGGGGGUGAGAUUCAAAAACUCAAACCUUUUUUAGCAAAAUUUGGCAUCUCUCAUCUCAUGACGCCACCUCAUACACCUCAACAUAAUGGCAUUGUCGAACGUCGUCAUCGCCAUAUCGUUGAAACCGGUCUAACUCUUCUUCACCAGUCUAAUUUUCCUCUUAAGUUUUGGUCUCAUGCCUUCCAAACUGCCACCUACCUUAUAAAUCAUCUUCCCACACCUAUUCUAAAUAAUCGUUCCCCCUUUCACGCUUUUUUUGGUGAAGUUCCAAACUACUCCAAACUCCGUGUUUUUGGUUGUUUAUGUUUUCCUUGGUUACGUCCCUACAACAAUCACAAACUUGAACCAUGUUCCCAUCCCUGUAUUUUCCUAGGCUAUUCCCUCACCCAAAGUGCUUACAAAUGUUUUGAUCCCUUAAAAAAUCAUAUUUUUCUAACCCGUCAUGUGGUCUUUGAUGAAUCCGUCUUUCCAUCCCUCUCCUCUACCCAACAAUCCCCUUCCAUUAUCAAUUCUUCACAUCUAUCGGAUGACUUAUCUCCCAUCAUUGUCCCACUCAUCACUGGCUUCAUGCAACACUAACCAUUGCGAUCACCAACCCCAGUCUCAUGCACAGCUCCACGAUCUCCAUCCAUAUCAUCUUCUUUGGGCACUGAAGCUACUGCCACAAUGGUUCCUUCUAAUAUCCUCCCAUCUCCACUUCCUACGAACAUAUCCAAUCCAAUCAAUACCUCAUCUUCACACCUCAACCAAACUCGCUCCUAAAAUGGCUUUUUUAGACCAAACCGUCACCUUAAUGCCACCACCAGAUAUAACCUCCCUGACAUAGAAGAACCCUCCUCUGCUUCACAGGCUCUUCGUGACCCAAAAUGGCAAACUGUCAUGUCGGAUGAAUUCAAUGCCUUACUACAUAAUGGCACGUGGGAUCUUGUCCCACCCUCUUCAUCCACAAACUUGGUUGGUUGUAAAUGGGUUUUCAGAAUCAAACGCAACUCAGAUGGCGCAGUUGAUCGUUACAAAGCACGUUUAGUUGCAAAAGGUUUUCACCAGCAACCGGGCAUUGAUUAUAAAGAAACUUUCAGUCCUGUCAUCAAGCCCACAACAAUCCGAAUUGUUCUUAGCCUUGCUGUUGCCAAUAACUAGCCACUUCGCCAACUAGAUAUCAAUAACGCAUUUCUUCAUGGUACACUGUCUGAAGCAAUGUUUAUGUCUCAGCCUCCAGGUUUUACUGAUUCAUAAUUUCCCACUCAUGUCUGCCAGCUUCGUAAAGACCUUUAUGGUCUCAGACAAGCCCCACAGGCUUGGUAUCAUGAGCUUCGCUCUUUUCUGCUAUCUUAUGGUUUUACAGGUGGCUUGUGGACUUUUGUAGCUCUCCACGGAGCUUUUGGGCUAAUAGGUUUUAUGUUACUUCAAUUUGAACUUGCUUGAUCCGUGCAAUUACGACCUUUUAACCCUACUGAUGAGUCUGGAGGAAAGACUGGUGAAUCAGGCAACCCCUCUACCAAUGUAGUUUCUGAUCCUUCUUUAUUUAUAUAUAAUCACAAUGCACAGCUCAUCGAUUUUCUGGUAUACGUUGAUGAUUUAGUUGUCACUGCAGUGAUCCUUCUUCCAUUGCUAGAUUCAUUGCAGCUAUAUCAACAAAAUUCUCAGUCAAAGAUCUCGGCUCACUACAUUACUUCCUUAGUAUUGAAGUGCUUCCCACCUCCUCAGGUCUGUUUCUCUCACAGCACAAAUAUAUUUGUGAUCUCUUAGUUCGCACCCGCAUGGAAGGUGCUCAAAAGGUUGGCACUCCUCUCACUACCACAAGCUCCCUUGUUCUUAAAGAUGGUUCACCUCCUGCAAAUGCCACUAAAUAUAGGAGUGUCAUUGGGGCACUGCAAUACCUAAAUCUCACUCGGCCAGAUAUAUCUUUCACUGUCAACAAGCUCUCUCAAUUCAUGCAUUGCCCUACCAAAUCCCACUGGAUUGCCACUAAAUGUCUACUACGAUAUCUUAAAGGCACCAUCUUUCACGAUCUACAUCUUCGCAGGCAUCGUAAUCCUUCAUUGCAUGCGUUAUCUGAUGCUGAUUGGGCUGGGAAUUUAGAUGAUCGAACUUCAACCACUGCUUAUGUAAUCUUUCUUGGCAACAAUCCAAUCUCAUGGAGUUCCCGAAAACAAAGGUCUGUUGCACGGUCUUCCACAGAAGCUGAGUAACGGGCUAUUGCUACCACAGCUGCAGAACUUGCAUGGGUUCAAUCUCUCCUGACAGAACUCCAAUUUCCUCUCCCAUGCACCCCGGUUAUAUAUUGUGAUAACAUUGGUGCUAAUUAUGUUUGUGCCAACCCAGUGUUUCACUCUCGCAUGAAGCAUAUUGCUAUUGAUUUUCACUUUGUUCGUGACAAAGUGGCUCACGGUUCUCUACGUGUCUCCCAUGUUGCUACUGCUGAUCAGCUGGCCGAUGCUUUAAGAAAGCCUUUAUCCAGACAAUGACUCUCCUUUUUAUUAUCCAAGAUUGGUAUCUCCGAUGGGAGCACCAUCUUGCGGGGGCGUGUAAAGAAUAUCCACAAUCCACUCAAUACAAGUUGACUACUUCAGCUUGUAAACCGACAACAAUAAUUCAAAAUAGUUUCUUAUCCUUUAUCCUUAGCUAAUGUAACAAACUAGGUAAUUUGUAGCUCAUGCAAACCUGUAUUUAAACAGUAACAAGAAUACUGAAUAAUUAUCAAAGGAAAUUAUCUCUACUUCUCUGCUUCUUUAUGAAUAACCAUUCCAUGACUUCCUUCAGGAUGUGCAAAUGCAACAUAGUAGCUCACAGCCUUUGAUCAUCCAUCGUUAUCAUUUCAUGUUCUGUUUUUAUCACUUUCUUUGUAAUGACUGCCGAAACUGAGUAUCUACGUUUCUAAACCAUACGUGUUCUUAUAGAGGAUCACCAUUAAAGAAAUUAAGAGCCAUCCAUGGUUCUUGAAGAACUUGCCAAGGGAACUGACAGAAGCAGCUCAGGCCAUGUACUACAGGAGAGAAAAUCCCACCUUUUCUCUUCAAAGUGUUGAAGAAAUCAUGAAGAUCAUGGAAGAGGAAAAAAUUCCCCCACUAGUAUCCAGAUCUAUUGGAGGCUUUGGCUGGGAAGGAGAAGAAGAUGGUGACAUGAAGAAAAAAUCAAUAACGUGGAAGAUGAGUAUGAGAAGAGAGUUAAGGAGGCACAAGCACGUGGGGAGUUUCAUGUGAGUUAAGAUCCAUCCUCUCUUCCUUGCACAUUCACGGUCUUAACCUCAUCCUUUGAAUAUUUAUAGGAUCCUUUGAAGCUUUGUGUAAAACUGUGUGUCAGUGAGCUGGUC
rnacentral:lncRNA from 1 species